GAGGAAGUAAAAGUCGUAACAAGGUUUCCGUAGGUGAACCUGCGGAAGGAUCAUUAUCGAAAUAAACCUGAGCAGGCUGUUGCUGGUGUGUUCACACAUGUGCACGCUUGUCAUCUUUAUUCUUCCAACUGUGCACAUACUGUAGACCCUGGAGUUCAUUUUAUUAUCAAUAGAUUGAGGUCUUGCUGUUGCUGGCCUUGUGUUCUUCAGGUCUAUGUUUUUACAUCUCACACACACAAAUGUUUUGAGUACUUGGGAAUAAUAAAAUAUACAACUUUCAGCAACGGAUCUCUUGGCUCUCGCAUCGAUGAAGAACGCAGCGAAAUGCGAUAAGUAAUGUGAAUUGCAGAAUUCAGUGAAUCAUCGAAUCUUUGAACGCAUCUUGCGCUCCUUGGUAUUCCGAGGAGCAUGCCUGUUUGAGUGUCAUCAAAUUCUCAACCAUGCUGCGGCGUGGCUUGGAUAUGGAGGGUUUUUGCAGGCUGGUUUUUUCUAAGUCUUGCUCCUCUGAAAAGCAUUAGUGGUGUCUGAGCAGAAAACUACUACAGGUGUGAUAACUUGUCUAUGCCUUGGUACAUAAUGCCAUGCUGCUUCAACCAGCUUUAUUUUGUGACUUUGACCUCAAAUCAGGUAGGACUACC
rnacentral:rRNA from 1 species